rnacentral:rRNA from 1 species
CAUUCGAGUGGCGGACGGGUGAGUAACGCGUGGGUAACCUGCCUUACACAGGGGGAUAACACCUGGAAACAGGUGCUAAUACCGCAUAAGCGCACAGGGCCGCAUGGCCCGGUGUGAAAAACUCCGGUGGUGUAAGAUGGACCCGCGUCUGAUUAGCUUGUUGGCGGGGUAGAGGCCCACCAAGGCGACGAUCAGUAGCCGGCCUGGGAGGGUGGACGGCCACAUUGGGACUGAGACACGGCCCAAACUCCUACGGAAGGCAGCAG